rnacentral:rRNA from 1 species
AUUGAACGCUGGCGGCAGGCCUAACACAUGCAAGUCGAGCGGAGCGGCGGAGGGGUGAGUAAUGCCUAGGAAUCUGCCUGGUAGUGGGGGAGAGGGUCCGGAAACGGGAGCGAAUACCACAUCCUCUAAGAUGAGCCUUGGUCGGAUUAGCUAGUUGGUGGGGUAGAGGCCUACCAAGGCGACGAUCCGUAACUGGUCUGAGAGGACGAUCAGCCACACUGGGACUGAGACACGGUCCAGACUCCUACGGGAGGCAGCAGUGGGGAAUAUUGGACAAUGGGCGCAAGCCUGAUCCAGCCAUGCCGCGUGUGUGAAGAAGGUCUUCGGAUUGUAAAGCACUUUCAGUUGGGAGGCGUUACCGACAGAAUAAGCACCGGCUAACUCCGUGCCAGCAGCCGCGGUAAUUC